UUUCUUUUUGGUUGUUAUGCUAAUUUGGUGCAACAAGUUCUACAUUUCCGCUCAAAACCACUAUUAGCAUUGUAGCACGCACUAGGUAUGGAACUUCUUUUGACUAGUAUUUACGUAGAUGCCGAUAAAUACAAACUAGCUUCGUUUUAAAAAAUAAAUACAUACUUGGCGGUUACAUGCAUGAGAGAUCACUUGGACGGAGCCAGGAAAAUGUCAGUGAAUAUGAACAUGGAAAUGCCAAUGCCCAAAACAUGCAUUGCGAUCUUCUCUCUCUCUCUCCCCAAGGGAAC
rnacentral:lncRNA from 1 species